GACGAACGCUGGCGGCGUGCCUAACACAUGCAGGUCGAACGAGUCCAGGGCUUCGGCUCUGAGGCGAGUGGCGGACGGGUGAGUAACACGUGAAUAAUCUGUCCCUGUGCGGGGGAUAACCCGGGGAAACUCGGGCUAAUACCGCAUGGUCGGGCUGCAGGAUCUGCGGCCUGGGAAAGGUGGCCUCUGAAGAUGCUACCGUGCAGGGAGGAGUUCGCGGGCUAUCAGCUAGUUGGUGAGGUAAUGGCUCACCAAGGCUGCGACGGCUACGGGGUCUGAGAGGACGGCCCCGCACAUUGGAACUGAGACACGGUCCAGACUCCUACGGGAGGCAGCAGUGGGGAAUUUUGGGCAAUGGCCGAAAGGCUGACCCAGCGACGCCGCGUGUGGGAGGAAGCUCUUCGGGGUGUAAACCACUGUCAGAGGGGACGAAUGCCGGUAUGGGGAAUACUCAUGCCGGGUGACGGUACCCUCAAAGGAAGCACCGGCUAACUCUGUGCC
rnacentral:rRNA from 1 species